rnacentral:misc_RNA from 1 species
GAUGAAGAACGUAGCGAAAUGCGAUACGUAAUGUGAAUUGCAGAAUUCCGUGAAUCAUCGAAUCUUUGAACGCACAUUGCACCCGGUGGUAUUCCGCCGGGUAUGCCUGUCUGAGCGUCAUUUCUACCCUCAAGCCUCGCUUGGUGUUGGGCCCUGCCCGCCGCGGCCGGCCCUAAAGAUAGUGGCGGCGCCGCCUGGCCCUCAGCGUAGUACAGCUCUCGCUCCAGGGUCCGGCGGCAGCCUGCCAGAACCCCCCAACUCUGUGGUUGACCUCGGAUCAGGUAGGGAUACCCGCUGAACUUAAGCAUAUCAAUAAGCGGAGGA